AUUCAUCCGUGCCUAUAAUGACUUUGUGGACUACCUGAGUGACCCCUCCAAGAAGAUUGACAUUGAGCGGGAGCUGGCUGAGGCAAAGAUCCAUCAUGUUAACCUGAUAGAUGUCCUCUUUGAACUGGUGCUGUUUGGGUUGAUGACAGCUCAGAAGUCCCUGAUGGUGCACCCUGGUGGGUUCAUGGAGCGUCUGUACGCUCUCCUGCACUCCUUCCUGCCCGCUGCUGCCAGCAUUGAGCCAAAGGCUGAGAGAUACCUGCUGCUGCUCAAUGUAAGAGUCAAGAGUUGACUUCCUUAUUCCUAGUUGACUUUUUCCUGAAUAACAGGGUUUCAAUGACAUUUUACAGGGAGUAACUCUCAUUGUCUCUUUCCUCUUGGUAAGCUAGUAACUCAGAGCCAUUAUCUAUGUGUUGUGUGGUGUUCUCUUCAGGGUGGGCUGAUGGCUCUGCUAGAUGACAUUUUUGGGCAGCAGCUGGCCUGGUACUUUAACCCAGUGUCUCUGGUCGCUGAGCUCUCCAGCCUCCUGGAGUACCACCUGGAGAGCCUCAUGGCCAGCAUGUAGUCCUACUGCAGAGAUCUGAAAGGCCACUCUCUCUCUGUCCUUCUCUCUCUCUCUGUCCAUCUCUCUCUCUCUCUCUCUGUCCAUCUCUCUCUCUCUCUGUCCAUAUCUCUCUCUCUCUGUCCAUCUCUCUCUCUCUCUCUCUCUCUGUCCA